AGUGAACACUGGCGGUAGGCCUAACACAUGCAAGUCGAACGGCAGCACAGGAGAGCUUGCUCUCUGGGUGGCGAGUGGCGGACGGGUGAGGAAUACAUCGGAAUCUACUCUGUCGUGAGGAUAACGUAGGGAAACUUACGCUAAUACCGCAUACGACCUACGGGUGAAAGCAGGGGACCUUCGGGCCUUGCGCGAUUGAAUGAGCCGAUGUCGGAUUAGCUAGUUGGCGGGGUAAAGGCCCACCAAGGCGACGAUCCGUAGCUGGUCUGAGAGGAUGAUCAGCCACACUGGAACUGAGACACGGUCCAGACUCCUACGGGAGGCAGCAGUGGGGAAUAUUGGACAAUGGGCGCAAGCCUGGUCCAGCCAUACCGCGUGGGUGAAGAAGGCCUUCGGGUUGUAAAGCCCUUUUGUUGGGAAAGAAAUCCAGCUGGCUAAUACCCGGUUGGGAUGACGGUACCCAAAGAAUAAGCACCGGCUAACUUCGUGCCAGCCGCCGCCGUAA
rnacentral:rRNA from 1 species